AAACUCUAGCGACGGCACGGGUGUCCGACUCACGACAACGAGGAUAGACAGCCGGUCCCCUCUGAACGGUAUAUUAUAUAUGAGAUGAUAGACGACAAACUGGAUGAAACUUUAAGUCUCGUUCAGGUAGUGUGUAAAUCAAAAAUUCGAUGGGACUCGCAUCCGUCGUCCUCGCGCGGUCUUUCGUCCCGAUAUCCAGAAGCAGAGUUUGAAAAACUCUAGCGACGGCACGGGUGUCCGACUCACGACAACGAGGAAAGACAGCCGGUCCCCUCUGAACGGUAUAUUAUAUGAAACUUUAAGUCUCGUUCAGGUAGUGUGUAAGUCAAAAAUUCGAUGGGACUCGCAUCCGUCGUCCUCGCGCGGUCUUUCGUCCCGAUAUCCAGAAGCAGAGUUUGAAAAACUCUAGCGACGGCACGGGUGUCCGACUCACGACAACGAGGAUAGACAGCCGGUCCCCUCUGAACGGUAUAUUAUAUAUGCGAUGAUAGACGACAAACUGGAUGAAACUUUAAGUCUCGUUCAGGUAGUGUAAAUAAAAAAUUCGAUGGGACUCGCAUCCGUCGUCCUCGCGCGGUCUUUCGUCCCGAUAUCCAGAAGCAGAUUUUGAAAAACUCUAGCGACGGCACGGGUGUCCGACUCACGACAACGAGGAUAGACAGCCGGUCCCCUCUGAACGGUAUAUAAUAUACAUUAUGCGACGAUGAUAGACGACAAACUGGAUGAAACUUUAAGUCUCGUUCAGGUAGUGUGUAAAUCAAAAAUUCGAUGGGACUCGCAUCCGUCGUCCUCGCGCGGUCUUUCGUCCCGAUAUCCA